GCACUCUUGGUCCAGCGGUAGGAUAUUUGCCUUCCAUUUACAGGCUAGCAAAUGGCUCGGGUUCGACUCCCGGAGGGUGCA